CUUUUCUGCUACUUACCCUAAAGGUACCAGAUUCCAUUAGAUCUUGGAAGCGAAGCAGGAUCAGACUGGUAGUAUUUCGCUGGAAGACCACUAAUGAAUACCAGGUGCUGUAGGCU
rnacentral:rRNA from 1 species